AUGGCCUCCAGCAUCACCCCCGCUGCCUCCUAUGUGACCAGCAGCAGGAAACGGUGUGACACCUCAUGCUGGAAUGCCCUCUCGCCCGUCAGGCAUGGCACGAGACACUGGCCUGGCUUCGCAUCCCGGCCCCGAUCCCCUCGCGGGAACUAUCGCUUAUGGACUGGUGGAGACAGGCCAAUGAAGACAUGCCGCCGACCCUGCGCAAGGCCCCGAAAUCUGUUGUGUUGCUCGUGCCUUGGAUGGUCUGGAAGCACCGAAACAGCUGUGUCUUUGAUAAUGCGACGCCUUCCCUCAACACACUACUAG
rnacentral:rRNA from 1 species